rnacentral:rRNA from 1 species
UCCCUAGAUGUUCUGGGCCGCACGCGCGCUACACUGAACAGUUCAACAAGUCUUAACCUUGGCCGAUAGGUCUGGGUAAUCUUUGAACGCUGUUCGUGAUUGGGAUAGACCUUUGCAAUUAUGGGUCUUCAACGAGGAAUUCCUAGUAAACGCAAGUCAUCAGCUUGCAUUGAUUACGUCCCUGCCCUUUGUACACACCGCCCGUCGCACCUACCGAUUGAAUGGUCCGGUGAAAUCUCGGGACGGCGGCUUGGUCGCUUGCGUCCGACUGCUGAAACUUGAUUAAACCAUAUCAUUUAGAGGAAGGUGANGUCGUAACA